AAGGUGCUAGUAAAAUGUUAAUAACACUGCCUUGUCAAGGCAGAGUUGUGAGUUAAACCCUCGCGUAUCUUG
rnacentral:tRNA from 1 species